GACGAACGCUGGCGGCGUGCUUAACACAUGCAAGUCGAACGGAAAGGCCCUGCUUUUGUGGGGUGCUCGAGUGGCGAACGGGUGAGUAACACGUGAGUAACCUGCCCUUAACUUGGGGAUAACUUCAGGAAACUGGGGCUAAUACCGGAUAGGAGCUCCUGCUGCAUGGUGGGGGUUGGAAAGUUUCGGCGGUUGGGGAUGGACUCGCGGCUUAUCAGCUUGUUGGUGGGGUAGUGGCUUACCAAGGCUUUGACGGGUAGCCGGCCUGAGAGGGUGACCGGCCACAUUGGGACUGAGAUACGGCCCAGACUCCUACGGGAGGCAGCAGUGGGGAAUAUUGCACAAUGGGCGGAAGCCUGAUGCAGCAACGCCGCGUGCGGGAUGACGGCCUUCGGGUUGUAAACCGCUUUCGCCUGUGACGAAGCGUGAGUGACGGUAAUGGGUAAAGAAGCACCGGCUAACUACGUG
rnacentral:rRNA from 1 species